GAAAUAGGACGUGUGGUUCUAUUUUGUUGGUUUCUAGGACCGCCGUAAUGAUUAAUAGGGACAGUCGGGGGCAUCAGUAUUCAAUUGUCAGAGGUGAAAUUCUUGGAUUUAUUGAAGACUAACUACUGCGAAAGCAUUUGCCAAGGAUGUUUUCAUUAAUCAGGAACGAAAGUUAGGGGAUCGAAGACGAUCAGAUACCGUUGUAGUCUUAACCAUAAACUAUGCCGACUAGGGAUCGGACGAUGUUAUUUUUUGACGCGUUCGGCACCUUACGAGAAAUCAAAGUGCUUGGGCUCCAGGGGGAGUAUGGUCGCAAGGCUGAAGCUUAAAGAAAUUGACGGAAGGGCACCACCAGGGGUGGAGCCUGCGGCUUAAUUUGACUCAACACGGGGAAACUCACCAGGUCCAGACACAAUGAGGAUUGACAGAUUGAGAGCUCUUUCUUGAUUUUGUGGGUGGUGGUGCAUGGCCGUUCUUAGUUGGUGGAGUGAUUUGUCUGCUUAAUUGCGAUAACGAACGAGACCUUAACCUGCUAAAUAGCCCGUAUUGCUUUGGCAGUACGCUGGCUUCUUAGAGGGACUAUCGGCUCAAGCCGAUGGAAGUUUGAGGCAAUAACAGGUCUGUGAUGCCCUUAGAUGUUCUGGGCAGCACGCGCGCCACACUGACGGAGCCAGCGAGUACUCCCUUGGCCGGAAGGCCCGGGUAAUCGUGUAAUGAUCCU
rnacentral:rRNA from 1 species